UAGAAAGUGGCAUAAACCAUUCGAAUCAUUUAAUCGUUAUAUAAUAAUAUAAUUACGAUUGUUCUUAUACAAAUAUAUCAAAUGAAGUAUUCAAAUGUGAAAAAUAUUAUAUUUUAAGGAGAAAUAUGGGAAACUUAAAUAUAUUAAGAUUAUAUAGGAAAAAUAUAUGAAGUCGCCAAAUUCUAACCUCAAAAUAAUUCAACAAUUCUUUUGUUUUUUUGUUAUAAAUGAAGAAAAUUAAUAAAAUAAAUGAAUUACAAUGUUCUAUGAGAUGGAAGGAAACAUUUUUAAUAAUAAUACAGGGAAAAGUUUUGGAAGGAAGUGCAAAAAAACAAUAAAUUAAAAGGAAUUAUGAGUGCAAUUAAAUUGAUGAUCACCAUUUGGAAAUCUUCCUGAAAUCAGAAAAUAAUUAUACAAUAACAUUAAAUUACUUAUUAUAAAUAUUUUUAAUAUAUUACAGAAUUUGUAUUUCUUACCAGCCAGAGCUUUUAAAACAGACGCAACUUGAUGUGCCAUAAAAGAGUCAGGACCUGAUGUUGUCUCGUCACAAAACAUAAACGGAGGAUUCAUUAUAACUUCAGAACCAAAUAAAAAGUCGUUUCAUUUCUC